CCUCUUCUCCCUCCUUCCCUUCCUCACCUACUUCUCCUCCUCGUCCUUCAAGCUCGUCCAUGAGCUGUUUUCCUCCAUGAUGGCUCCUUUUAUCUCCAAUCAUUCUUCAUCGACGACCCCUUCAUCCCUUCCUCUCGUUCCUCCUUAUCUAUUUUUCUUCAUCCUCCUCCUCCUCUAAGCCACCUAUAAGUUCUUUCCCUCAUGGCGGCCCCCUCUACUUCCAUCUCUUCUCGUCAGCAAUUCAUCCUUCUCCUUUUUCUUCCUCGUCACU
rnacentral:lncRNA from 1 species